UAUAGGUAUUAUCUAGGCAAUUUUUUUAGUUUCUUAUUUUAAAAAAAAUUCCCAAUACUUCAGAUGCAUUCAAAUGUUAACAGUAUAUCACAUUCCUUGUUGUGAACAGUUAUUACAUUGUUAUAUUUGUGGUUGGAUUACAUAUUCAUAUCAGAGGCUUUUGAUUUUGAUUUAAUUAGGAAAAUAUACUUGCCGAUUAUUAUGUUUGCUUAUUAUCUUUAUUUAAAAAACACCUUUCUUGUACAUAAUUGAAUAUUUUGGUAAAAUUGGAGAUUGACUGUCAGACGAUGAAAAGAGCAUUACUUCAGAUUGGACAUAUAAAAUCAUAAUGGUUGAUUGGAGUCACUGCCUAAUAUGAUAUAUAUGUUGUCAAGAACUCAUUAUAAAUCCAUCUCUGAUAUAGAUAAGGGCUAUUCUGUUAAAUGUAUGUUGGAGGGAAGUUUGAUGAUUGGAUGUGGGUCAUGGGUCUUUUUUCAGUAUGCCUUUAUUACCAGUAUCCAAAAUUAUAAGAUAAAUUGUUCUUGGUUGUAGUGAUAUUUUGAAAGUCCCUUCUGACCCUCCCAAAUACAUUUUAAUGAAAUAACCCUAAGGAAUCUUAUAUUGAAAUUCCCUUGAUAUCUCCACAUAAUUUCACGUUUUCAAUGUAAAAAAACAUUUUUUUGGCUUUUACCAUACCUAUAGUUUUACUAUAUCUUUAUUUCAUUUUUUUCCUCCAAAUAUUUGGAAGUACUAACACAUCCUAACAAAAGUGCAUAUUAUAUAUAUAUGAAUAUAUCUUGUAUUAUACCUCUCACUCAUAUUAUGGUGCUUGUAAUUCUAAUGUAGUCGGGAGUUUUUCUGUUUUUGAUUCAUUUGGUAUUUGUGAAUUGAUUUAAUAUUAGGCAACAUUUGAGCUGCGUGGCAUAGAAUCUUUGUUGGGCUGAAAAAGUCUCUAGUGAAAGUUGGUUAAUUUUUGCAAAUUAUAAGAACCCUAGACCUACAAAACAAACCAAAAUUCAAAUAAUAUUUCGAAUUUGAAUAUUCCAAAAUUGAUCAAAGUUAUAAGCACAUACAUGUAUACGUGCACUUGCAUAAGGUUGGUUUCUUUGCGAUGCAGCUCAUUUUUUACUCUAUGUUCUAAGAGGUGCAAGAUGAUCAAUAUGAAAUUCACUGUAAAAUAAUAAAUUCAUGUUAACAAUGGUCUGUUUGUUUGAUAAUUUACCAUUUAUAAUUGCAAGUAAAUAUUACUUUAGGUCAUGCUAUAAAUAAACAGUACCAUCUGAAAAACAGUAAAAAUUCCUGACUGAUAAUGUGUGUGUUCUAUACAGGGCAUUAGUAUAUAUCUAAUUAUUAAGUGUAUUAGAAUCUCUAAUCUAAGAAUUCCACAUGAAUAAAGAUCAGGUGUUGUCAGUGAAGACUUUUGUCACAAUGUUCUCAAAAGAUAACUUAAGUAACUAGGGAUCUGUAG
rnacentral:lncRNA from 1 species